rnacentral:tRNA from 1 species
GCCCCUGUCGUUCAAUGGAUAGGACGCAGGAUUGCGGAUCCUGUAAUCGAAGUUCGAAUCUUCGUGGGGGCACCA